AUCAGACGGAGCGGGAGGAGGGUAAGCUGCUCUCCCUGCUGCUCGCACCUGUCUCCCGUAUCCACGGUUACCUGGGACACAUUCAGAAUCUGCUGCAGUGGACCAGCCGGGACCACCCGGACUGCAGCCUACUGCUGGGCUCCGAGAAGGUCCUGAGGGAGACCCUGUCCCGCUGCCACAGCAUCCUGGAGCAGGACGUCCAAUGGGAAGAGGACGCUCAUCCGACCAAUCAGAGCGGGAAAUGCUCUGGCGGCCCUCCCGCGUGCGUGUCAUCUGCUAGCUGCUGUGCGCGGAGUCAGCAGUGCCAGGGCCCAGCAGGGCCAGCGGGGCCCCCAGCCAGA